GAUGAACGCUGACAGCAUGCUUAACACAUGCAAGUCAACUUGAACUUCGGUUUGGGUGGCGGACGGGUGAGUAACGCGUAAAGAACUUGCCUCACAGAUAGGGACAACAUUUGGAAACGAAUGCUAAUACCUGAUAUUAUGAUUUUAGGGCAUCCUAGGAUUAUGAAAGCUAUAUGCGCUGUGAGAGAGCUUUGCGUCCCAUUAGCUAGUUGGAGAGGUAACGGCUCACCAAGGCGAUGAUGGGUAGCCGGCCUGAGAGGGUGAUCGGCCACAAGGGGACUGAGACACGGCCCUUACUCCUACGGGAGGCAGCAGUGGGGAAUAUGGGACAAUGGACCAAGAGUCUGAUCCAGCAAUUCUGUGUGCACGAUGAAGUUUUUCGGAAUGUAAAGUGCUUUCAGUUGGGAAGAAAAAAAUGACGGUACCAACAGAAGAAGUGACGGCUAAAUACGUG
rnacentral:rRNA from 1 species